UUGUUGCCAGCGAUUAGGUCGGGAACUCAAAGGAGACUGCCAGUGAUAAACUGGAGGAAGGUGGGGAUGACGUCAAGUCAUCAUGGCCCUUACGACCAGGGCUACACACGUGCUACAAUGGCGCAUACAAAGAGAAGCGACCUCGCGAGAGCAAGCGGACCUCAUAAAGUGCGUCGUAGUCCGGAUUGGAGUCUGCAACUCGACUCCAUGAAGUCGGAAUCGCUAGUAAUCGUGGAUCAGAAUGCCACGGUGAAUACGUUCCCGGGCCUUGUACACACCGCCCGUCACACCAUGGGAGUGGGUUGCAAAAGAAGUAGGUAGCUUAACCUUCGGGAGGGCGCUUACCACUUUGUGAUUCAUGACUGGGGUGAAGUCGUAACAAGGUAACCGUAGGGGAACCUGCGGUUGGAUCACCUCCUUACCUUAAAGAA
rnacentral:rRNA from 1 species